GACGAACGCUGGCGGCGUGCUUAACACAUGCAAGUCGAACGGUGAAGCGCCUUCCUUUUUGGUGGGUGUGGAUGAGUGGCGAACGGGUGAGUAACACGUGAGUAACCUGCCCCCUUCUUCUGGAUAACCGCAUGAAAGUGUGGCUAAUACGGGAUAUUCUGGGUCUGUCGCAUGAUGGGUCUGGGAAAGAUAUUGUUUCGGUGGGGGAUGGGCUCGCGGCCUAUCAGCUUGUUGGUGGGGUGAUGGCCUACCAAGGCGGUGACGGGUAGCCGGCCUGAGAGGGGGGACGGUCACACUGGGACUGCGACACGGCCGAGACUCCUACGGGAGGCAGCAGUGGGGAAUAUUGCACAAUGGGCGAAAGCCUGAUGCAGCGAGGCCGCGUGAGGGAUGGAGGCCUGCGGGUUGUGAACCUCUUUCGCCAGUGAAGCAGGCCUGCCUCGUUUGUGGGUGGGUUGACGGUAGCUGGAUAAGAAGCGCCGGCUAACUACGUG
rnacentral:rRNA from 1 species